rnacentral:tRNA from 1 species
GUUAGAAUAGUUUAAAUUUAAAACGUUAUUUUGUGGAAAUAAAAAUAUAUAAUUAUUUCUGACU